UGGCUCAGUGGUUAAGAGCACUUGACUGCUCUUCCAGAGGUCCUGGGUUCAAUUCCCAG
rnacentral:tRNA from 1 species